CUUAGCUCCACAAACAGGAGAACACUGUUGGAAAAGAUGAGAAGAGCAAAAAAAUCUCCUUUGGAGAAUGAUCUAAAAUUCAUUUGUCUGGCCGGGCGCGGUGGCUCACGCUUGUAAUCCCAGCACU